AUUCCGAGGGCUACCAGAGUGGUCCGAAUAGUAUCUCAAUUGCUAAAGUGAGACUUUAGACUCAAUUUCUGAUGAUUUAAAACCAUAUCUGCAUUAACAGGAAGCUGUUUGUGCCCUCCCUCAAGCUAAGGUCCUCUACCCUACUUUAUCGUGGUCUAUAGACGGCACUGCCUGAAGAGUCCCUCUCAUACUAAAAGAACAUGGCCACAGGGCUCAGAGCCUGUGCCCAGGCAAAGUGCUGCCCACUUACGGUGCCGGCUGCUCCGUGGAUGGUCCCCACCCACUUGAACAGGUUGUCUGACUCAGGGAAGGCGGAGAUUCCUUUGUCACCAGAUGUCUGAGGAAGGAAACAACACUCAACUGCUGGGUUCCAGUGUACACUUUCAGGCACAGCCAAAGGGGUCACUUGUUGGGAGCCCACUCUUAGCAGAAAGCGGCUAUCAUCUCUGCAGCCAUCUCAGGCUAUUUACUUACAGGUUGGUACUUUUCCACCCUGACGAGAGACAAUGCUGCUUUUGCAAGAAGCUCACCACAGCUGAACACACUCUAAUAUCAUCCUGUUUUUCCCAAACACAUCCUGGACUGGCUAAGUGUCUCCAGCUGCACUCCCCAGCCUGUGCUUAUACACCUAUAGUUGCCUUCCAAUAAAUGAGACUUGAAACU
rnacentral:lncRNA from 1 species